rnacentral:rRNA from 1 species
GAUGAACGCUGGCGGCGUGCCUAAUACAUGCAAGUCGAGCGAACGGACGAGAAGCUUGCUUUUCUGAUGUUAGCGGCGGACGGGUGAGUAACACGUGGAUAACCUACCUAUAAGACUGGGAUAACUUCGGGAAACCGGAGCUAAUACCGGAUAAUAUUUUGAACCGCAUGGUUCAAAAGUGAAAGACGGUCUUGCUGUCACUUAUAGAUGGAUCCGCGCUGCAUUAGCUAGUUGGUAAGGUAACGGCUUACCAAGGCAACGAUGCAUAGCCGACCUGAGAGGGUGAUCGGCAACACUGGAACUGAGACACGGUCCAGACUCCUACGGGAGGCAGCAGUAGGGAAUCUUCCGCAAUGGGCGAAAGCCUGACGGAGCAACGCCGCGUGAGUGAUGAAGGUCUUCGGAUCGUAAAACUCUGUUAUUAGGGAAGAACAUAUGUGUAAGUAACUGUGCACAUCUUGACGGUACCUAAUCAGAAAGCCACGGCUAACUACGUG